CAGGGUACGGUAAAUUCGAGCAUUUAUGGGCUUGUUGGAACUUGGGCUCUACCGACGGAAAGAAGCCGAUUUCUUGGAAUAUGUUGGUUUGGGAACCACCUGGGUGCAAUUAUCGGUCUCUCGACUUCAGGACUUCUUUGUGUCUAUGGCUUUGAUAAUGGUUGGGCAUCAAUAUUUUAUAUACAAGGUACUUUGACGUUAAUAUUUGUUGGCUGCUGGUGGUUUCUGGUCUUUAGUUCGCCAAAAAAUCAUCCGAGAAUAUCGUCUGUGGAAAGAAAUCUGAUUAUUAAACACGUUCCACAAGACACACAAACUGAUAGAACG